UAUAAAUAGCCUUAUAAGCAACUGAUCAGUUAUCUCGCGUGUGCUCCAGUACAGACUACAGUACAGCCAACCAAAAGAAAAUGCAGAGUAAGAUGGCACCCGUCGUCAUCAGCGACGCCGUGGCGGCCACUCCGCCGGCGGCCGCUCCUGCCGGCGAUCCUCCGGCCGUCACCCCUACGGCGGCGGCCGUCGCGCCUCCAGCCUCUCCAGGGUUAAGCAUAGAACUGACCAUCCACGCCGUGGUCCGUCCCCUACCACCCAGCAGCGAGUCAAAGCCUCCUCCUGCAGUUACGCCAUCCGAUGAUGAUCCAAGCCGACAUGGCCCUCGUGACCCAAUACCUGAUCCUAAAAACCCUCCUCCUAGUCAUCGAGUUGCUCCGCAGUUUGGUCCUCAUGACUCACCUGUUGACUCAUUUCCUGAUCCUAAACACCCUCCUCAUCAGCCUCUGGUUGGUCCAGGGCCUCCAAGCCGUAAUCCUGGUCAAGAUCAACAGCAUUCACCUGUGGACUCGUUUCCUGAUCCUUAACACCCCCCUGCUCGUUCUUCUCAAGGUUAAUCUGCAAGGUCGCUCAAAGCUCUGAACAUGAACCUGCUGCGGAACACACCACAACCAGUUUAAUUUCCUGAUUGUAAUCUGUAAACAAUGCUGGGUCUCGGCACCGGAGAAGAGAUGCAUCACCGGGAAGGAGGCAAGAAAUGAUUUAUCUGGUGUCUAUCGACGUGUAGUACAUAUGCAAGAUCGAUCGACCGAGCCCUCUUGCAGCGUUUUCAUAUUUGUUUUAGCUUCGGCUUGUAAACUGUAACUAAUUUUAUAACUUUUUGCUCAGUUUUGUCAUCUGGUUUUAGGUUUUGUAUAGGUAAGAAUAGCAAUGCAAAUUAAACCCUUAUCUUAAAAUUAGUUUUUGUUGCUUCGGUCACAUAUGUUAGCCGCUGGAAAAAAAAAACGAUCUUUCGAAUUCCCGUUUUCUCAUUUGCGUGCACCCUCCGCUCAAGAUACCUGGAAAAAAAAAAGGGAGAGAGAACCACGAUCAAAAAAAAAAAAAUCAGAACCCCACAAAAAAAAAAAGAGAAGGAGAUUUCACGUCUUGAGAAGAACUGGUGAACUUUCCCAAAAAAAAAAAAUGUUAAAUCCACAGCGCAGAAAGGAAACUCUAUCCAUAGUAUGAGCAGGGCAACACCAACAGCAGCAGGAAAAAGGGACGAGCUGAGGAGAGGAACAGUGAAGUGGAGAGGAAUCACCGGUGGCAGGGAAUUUAACUAUUUGUCACUUUAAGAUUUGCCAAUUAUCAAAAUGCUCCUCUUAGAUUUGCACUUAAUAAUUUAUCACUGGAGAGAGGUAAUUUCUUAACUAUUUGCCACUUUCACCUACGUGGCGUGCCACCGUAUUGUGCCACCGUGGAAAGCAAUGUGGAUCCCACCCGUCAGCCUCUCUCCUCUCCUUCUUCUCUCUAGUGGUUGUCGCCCACCUCCCGCCGGCCCCACGCUGGCCACACACCAUCGUCGGCCGCCGGCCCGUGCUCGCCCACUCCCCCCGCUGGCUCUAGGCCGUAGUCGACUGCCAGCCAGUGCUCGCCCGCUCGCCCCGCGGCCGCCGCCGCCACGCCCAAUAGCUCAGACACCACUAGAGUCCGGCGACUCGACGCGACACGACUCUUCUCCGUCCUGGCGAUGCUGCGGCACGGCCGCCGUGUGGAGGGACACGGCGACGCCCUCCCUCCUUGUCCGCGUCUCCGCCUUCUUCCUCAUCGCCGACGCCGACUCUCUGGUCGGGCCACUGGCCGGCGAGGCGGCCAUGUUGGCCGCCACAACCUACUCCGCCGCGGUGGUCGACUACGUCGUCGCCGAGCACCGACACCACCACCAGGCGUCGUCGCCGCCCGGGACAUCGGACGCCACCACUGCCACCAGCGUACGAGUCACAGGCGGAGAGGCACUACCGCGAGACCUGCAAGAAGUUCACCGCCUUCGCCGUCCUCCUCGUGGACCUUCUACCUCGCGUGGUUGCUACGGCCGAACGACGCGCUGCCGCUGCAGCCGGCAGGGGACGACGGUGUGGGGCCAACGCGGGGCCGGCGGGAGGUCACGGCGACGAUCGGAGGUAGAUAAGAAGGAGAGGAGAGGGACUGAUGGUGGGGUCCACGUUGCUUUUCACGCUGGCACGGUACGGUGGCACGCCACGUAGGCAAAAGUGGCAAAUAGUUAAAAAAUUAUCUCUCUCCGGUGACAAAUUAUUAAGUGCAAACCUAAGAGGGGCAUUUGGAUAAUUGGCAAACCUAAAAGUGGCAAAUAGUUAAAUUCCCCACCGGUGGCAGGUAGCUUGUCGGUUGGCUAGGCAACGACAGCGCACUGCUUCUCCCAGCAGCUUGGUACCUCGUACCUAGCUAGGUACUGGGUACUGGGGUACUAAGGGGCUGUUUGGUUGAUGCCAAUAAGUUGCCAUAUUUGUGGUUAAGUAAGUUUGACCAUGUUAGAUAGGUGUUUGGUUGGCUUCCAUAAGUGUGGCAAGAUUUCUCUUUUAUAAUAUUGGUCUUAGAUGUUAGUGACUCUAAAAGGUGUGGCAUGAUUUAAUUUUGUUGGCUAAAGUGUGGCUUGGAUUUUGAUAGCCUCGCAUUUGACAAGUUUGACAAAGAAAGUAUGGCUAACCUAGGCAAUAUAGGCCGAGUUUAGUUCCAAACUUUCAACUUUUCCAUCACAUCAAAACUUUCAUAUAUACACAAACUUCCAACUUUUCCAUCACAUCAUUCCAAUUUCAACAAAACUUUCAAUUUUAGUGUGAACUAAACACACCUUAGUAUGUGAACUAAACAGCUCCUAAGGCUUAUAAUUGCGGGUGCUAGCCGAGGAUGAUGAGCCGCACGAUGUAUCUGCACAUAACGCGAGUGAGGCAAUCGAUGCUCUAGAUUUGAUCAUUUUGACCUCUUGCUCCGUUAGAUCUAUCAAGAAAAAGGAAGGGCAAGAGGAUCCUUGUACAUCCCCAUCACAGGAAGAACACCAUAUCGCGCCCCCACGGCCAUCGAAACCUCGAGCGCUGCCACUGCCAUCUCCGUGCCCAUACAGCGGUGCAACUGCUUGUACCACUGCCCUCAGAUUCUCAACCAAAACCAGCAAGCCACAGCCUGCCAUGUCAUGUUUGUACCUAGAUACCAGGUAUGACGGGAGCAGGCUAGCAGGGGCAUGGAGCAACAACAGAGAGUGGUGAGUAGGAGGAUGAGCAAGAGUCGACAACGAGGAGGAGGAGCAGUGAGCCAUUCUCGACAUGUACAAGCGAGGUGGAAGAGAAAAAGGAUGAUGGAGAGAUCGCAAGGAGCCAAGGAGGAGGAGGGCCACGAAUGUAUGGUGUAAGCGGAUAGCGCAUCGGGUAGGGAUCAUUAAGUAUGCCGUCCCAUAGUUAGGUUCCUGUCAUAUAGUAUUUCUGUUAAAAAUAUUUCAAGAAAGAAAAAAAGAAGAAUAUUUUUACUUGGCUACAAGUUUUGAAAUGAAUUCCUUCAGGGUUAAGAAUUUGAAGACCGACCUCUAUACCGACAGCUGACUUGGGCCAAGAGAGGUCCACGAGACACCUGGCCCAACUCCCCGUUUUCCCAUGGUAACGAUAGCCCAAGAUUCAUGGCCCAACCACAACCAGAGGUAGCCUAGCGACGGGCUCCCACGACAACAGCCGACGGCGGCGGCGGCGCCCUAUGCAGGUGACGGCGAGUCCGCAAGGGAAACCGAAACGGGCGGCGCCGCCGCUCGGGACUCUGGAGUGAGCGGCGCCGGCAGCUGGGACUCCGAGAGUAGCAGCCUAGCAGGAACACGAGCAGGCAAGCAGCCAGCAGAGCAACACACUUGCCAAGAGAGGAUGGGAUGUUGCCAGACAACCUGUUGUUUGAGAUGCUAAGGUUUUUCAGAUUAAUGAGAUUUCCAACUUCCUCUGGUAUUCCUCCGAACAAGUAAUUGUGUGACAGGUCCAACUCUUGGGAAGUGACAAAAUUUUGAAGAUCUGAUUUGGUAUUCUUCCAUCUAGUGAGUUAUGGGCAAGGUUGAGUAUUGCCAGUUGAGUACAAUGCUCUAGAGUUGCUGGUAUGCCUCCACUAAAGUAAUUCCUAUCUAACUUCAGAUCGGUUAGCUUAACAAGGUUGCCAAUUGUAUCAGGGAUUUGUCCUGACAGGUUGUUUUGGGCCAUGGCUAGAACGACCAAGUUGUUCAAAUUUCCAAUUGCCGGGGGUAUGUUUCCUGUCAAAAGAUUGUAAUCCAUGUACAACAUUUCCAAGCCCUUUAGAUUUCCCAACUCUGGUGGUAUAUGCCCAGAAAUUUUGUUGUCUCUUAGCCACAACCAUUUGAGACUACUGGAAAGAUUGCCAAUGGAACGAGGCAGUUUACCUUUGAGAUUGUUCCCAUCUAUCAAUAGUUUUGUCAAUUUGGAGCAAUUCGAUAGUGAUGAAAUAAAACUCCAGUCAGCUGCUUCCAGCUUGUUGUAUGACAACAUAACUUCCUCCAAAUUUAGCAAUGAUCCAAAGAAAGGAAUGAGCCCAGUAAGGCUAUUAUUGCGCAAGUACAGCGAUUUCAGAUUGGAAGCAUUGACAAGAGUAGGUGGGAUUGGGCCUUUGAACCUAUUAUUGGACAGAAUUAAUGUUUUAAUAUUUGGGAGUGUAUAACCUAAGUUUGAUGGUAAUUCCCCUGUGAGUGAGUUAUUUGCCAUGGCUAGACUUUUCAGGGAUGACAAGUUGAAGAUGGAUGAUGGAACAUGCCCAGUUAAUUUGUUUACAUUCAAAUUCAACAGUUCUAGUGUUGGAAUAUGGCCUAAACUAUCUGGUAUGCUACCGGUUAAAUUGUUCCGUGUGAGACUUAGAUCAAGUAGGGAGGAAAGAUUUCCUAAUGAGGAAGGUAUUGUUCCUGAUAGUUUGUUACCCCCUAAAUAUAGAUACUGUAAAGGGAGAGGGGUGGCAGUAACAUGUGGUAUAGAACCAACAAAGUUAUUCUCAUCAAGGUAAAUAUCAGUAAGAGUUGAGGAGGUGAACAAAGGCUUUGGGAUUUCUCCAGUAAGGGUAUUUCUCGUGAGGACAAGUACUUUGAGGGAUGAACUAUUCAGUAAGGACUGUGGUAUGCUCCCUGUGAGAGCAUUGCUCUCGAGAUUAACAUAUGUGAGCGAAAGGCUGCUUCCUAAAGACGCUGGUAUGUCGCCGGUGAGUCUAUUGCUAGCAAGAACAACUUUUUCAAGCUUAGGAAGGUUCCCAAAAGCAUAAGGGAUCCUCCCCUGGAGCUUGUUCUUGCUGAGGUGAAUCUUUUUAAGACGAUUGCAUUGACUUAGGCUAGCUGGGAUUUCACCUUGGAUGAAAUUGUUCGACAAAUCUAAGAUUUCAAGUUGGGAACAUGAAGAAAGUUCAGAAGGGAUGUUACCUUCUAGAGAGUUCAUGCUGAGGUUGAGGUUGUUGAGUUGUCCGAGUAGACCGAGCACUGAAGGUAUGCUGCCAUUGAAGCUAUUGUUUGAUAGUUGCAACAUUGUAAGAGAGGUGAGGUUGGCAAUGCAAGGUGAUAUGGAGCCAGAGAUGCCUUCUGAUGCCAAGUCUAUUGCAGUGACACGACGGGGAGAUGGUGUGCUGCAAGUGACACCAUGCCAAUUGCAGAACUCCUGGGACGCAUUGCUCCAUGAGGCUAGUACUCCCGGUGGACCUGAGAGCUGGGACUUGAAGCAUAGGAGAGCUUGACGAUCAUUUUCAUGUUCAUCACUGAUGGCUAUUGGUAGAAUCAUAAAGAUAAUGGAUAGGCAAAGCCAAACAAUGCCUGAGGACAAGACGCCCAAACAUGCCAUUUAGUUCUGUGUGGCUAAGCUUCUAUAGUUGAUGAAAACUUGCUUUGUAAUAGGAGUACUACGCUACAUAAAUACUCUCUAUGGUACCAGGCAUCUGGUCGAUCUAAUCCAUGACACGGUGGGAACUUGUAUGAUCCAUGAAUACACGUUUUUUGCAAUGCAAUUCAACCACAUUUGAA